AGUGAACGCUGGCGGUAGGCCUAACACAUGCAAGUCGAACGGCACCACCGUAGUAGCUUGCUCUUACGGGUGGCGAGUGUCGGACGGUUGCGGUAUACAUCGAAAUCUACUUUUUCGUUGGGGCUAACGUAGGAAAACUUACGCUAAUACCGCAUACGACCUCCGUGUGACAGCACGGGAUCUUCGGACCUUGCGCGAUUGAAUGUGCCGAUGUCGGAUUAGUUAGUUGGCGGGGUCAAGGCCCACCAAGGCGACGAUCCGUAGGUGGGCUGAGAGGAUGAAUCGGUAGACUGGAACUGAGACAGGGCCCAGACUCCGACGGGAGGCAGCAGUGGGGAAUAUUGGACGAGGGGGGAAAGCCUGAUCCAGCCCUACCGGGGAGGUGAAGAAGGACUUCGGGUUGUAAAGUCAUGUUGGUGGGAGAGAAAAGCAGCAGGUUAACACCCCGCUGUUAUGACGGUACCCAAAGAAUAAGCACCGGCUAACUUCGUG
rnacentral:rRNA from 1 species